rnacentral:rRNA from 1 species
UUGACCUCAAAUCAGGUAGGACUACCCGCUGAACUUAAGCAUAUCAAUAAGCGGAGGAAAAGAAACUAACAAGGAUUCCCCUAGUAACUGCGAGUGAACCGGGAAAAGCUCAAAUUUUGAAUCUGGCGGUCUUUCGGCCGUCCGAGUG